AAACUUAAAGGAAUUGACGGGGGCCCGCACAAGCGGUGGAGCAUGUGGUUUAAUUCGAUGCAACGCGAAGAACCUUACCUAGACUUGACAUCCCGGGAAUUCUUAGGAACUAGAAGUGCCUUUCGGGGAGCCCGGUGACAGGUGCUGCAUGGCUGUCGUCAGCUCGUGUCGUGAGAUGUUCGGUUAAGUCCGCUAACGAGCGCAACCCUCGCUGUGUGUUAUAUGUGUCACACGGGACUGCCGGUCUUAAGCCGGAGGAAGGUGGGGAUGAUGUCAAGUCAGCAUGGCCUUUAUAUCCUGGGCUACACACACGCUACAAUGGCCAACACAAUAGGUUGCUAAGCCGCGAGGUGGCGCCAAUCCAUAAAGUUGGUCUCAGUUCAGAUUGUAGGCUGCAACCCGCCUGCAUGAAGAUGGAGUUGCUAGUAACCGCAGGUCAGCUGUACUGCGGUGAAUACGUUCCCGGGGCUU
rnacentral:rRNA from 1 species